GGUCUUAGCUUGCUAAGGCCGAUGGCGACCGGCGCACGGGUGAGUAACACGUAUCCAACCUGCCGUCUACUCUUGGACAGCCUUCUGAAAGGAAGAUUAAUACAAGAUGGCAUCAUGAGUCCACAUGUUCACAUGAUUAAAGGUAUUCCGGUAGACGAUGGGGAUGCGUUCCAUUAGAUAGUAGGCGGGGUAACGGCCCACCUAGUCUUCGAUGGAUAGGGGUUCUGAGAGGAAGGUCCCCCACAUUGGAACUGAGACACGGUCCAAACUCCUACGGGAGGCAGCAGUGAGGAAUAUUGGUCAAUGGGCGAGAGCCUGAACCAGCCAAGUAGCGUGAAGGAUGACUGCCCUAUGGGUUGUAAACUUCUUUUAUAAAGGAAUAAAGUCGGGUAUGUAUACCCGUUUGCAUGUACUUUAUGAAUAAGGAUCGGCUAACUCCGUGCCAGCAGCCGCGGUAAUACGGAGGAUCCGAGCGUU
rnacentral:rRNA from 1 species